AGAGUUUGAUCCUGGCUCAGGAUGAACGCUGGCGGCGUGCUUAACACAUGCAAGUCGAACGAAGCACCUUAUUCUGAUUUCUUCGGAAUGAAAAAUUUGGUGACUGAGUGGCGGACGGGUGAGUAACGCGUGGGUAACCUGCCUCAUACAGGGGGAUAACAGUUAGAAAUGACUGCUAAUACCGCAUAAGACCACAGCACCGCAUGGUGCAGGGGUAAAAACUCCGGUGGUAUGAGAUGGACCCGCGUCUGAUUAGGUAGUUGGUGGGGUAACGGCCUACCAAGCCGACGAUCAGUAGCCGACCUGAGAGGGUGACCGGCCACAUUGGGACUGAGACACGGCCCAAACUCCUACGGGAGGCAGCAGUGGGGAAUAUUGCACAAUGGGGGAAACCCUGAUGCAGCGACGCCGCGUGAGCGAUGAAGUAUUUCGGUAUGUAAAGCUCUAUCAGCAGGGAAGAAAAUGACGGUACCUGACUAAGAAGCACCGGCUAAAUACGUGCCAGCAGCCGCGGUAAUACGUAUGGUGCAAGCGUUAUCCGGAUUUACUGGGUGUAAAGGGAGCGUAGACGGAGUGGCAAGUCUGAUGUGAAAACCCGGGGCUCAACCCCGGGACUGCAUUGGAAACUGUCAAUCUAGAGUACCGGAGAGGUAAGCGGAAUUCCUAGUGUAGCGGUGAAAUGCGUAGAUAUUAGGAGGAACACCAGUGGCGAAGGCGGCUUGCUGGACGGUAACUGACGUUGAGGCUCGAAAGCGUGGGGGAGCAAACAGGAUUAGAUACCCUGGGUAGUCCACGCCCGUAAAACGAUGACUACUAAGGUGUCCGGGCAGCAAAAGCUUGUUCCGGUGGCCGCAGCCAAACGGCAAUAAAGUAAGUCCAACCUGGGGGGAGUACGUUUCCGCAAGAAUGGAAACUUCAAAGGGAAUUUGACGGGGGACCCCGCACAAAGCGGUUGGAACCAUGGUGGGUUUAAAUUUCGAAAGCAACCGCGAAAGAAACCUUUACCUUGGUUCUUUGGACAUUCUCCCCUGGACCGGGCAAAGUAAAUGGUUGGCCUUUUCCUUCGGGACAGGGAUGACAGGUGGUGCAUGGUUGUCGUCAGCUCGUGUCGUGAGAUGUUGGGUUAAGUCCCGCAACGAGCGCAACCCCUAUCUUUAGUAGCCAGCGGUUUGGCCGGGCACUCUAGAGAGACUGCCAGGGAUAACCUGGAGGAAGGUGGGGAUGACGUCAAAUCAUCAUGCCCCUUAUGAGCAGGGCUACACACGUGCUACAAUGGCGUAAACAAAGGGAGGCAGAACCGCGAGGUCGAGCAAAUCCCAAAAAUAACGUCUCAGUUCGGAUUGUAGUCUGCAACUCGACUACAUGAAGCUGGAAUCGCUAGUAAUCGCGAAUCAGAAUGUCGCGGUGAAUACGUUCCCGGGUCUUGUACACACCGCCCGUC
rnacentral:rRNA from 1 species